rnacentral:rRNA from 1 species
CAGCCGCCGCGGUAAAACCAGCACCUCAAGUGGUCAGGAUGAUUAUUGGGCCUAAAGCAUCCGUAGCUCGUUUUGUAAGUUUUCGGUUAAAUCCAUGCGCUUAACGUAUGGGCUGCCGGGAAUACUGCAUAACUAGGAAGUGGGAGAGGUAGACGGUACUCGGUAGGAAGGGGUAAAAUCCUUUGAUCUAUUGAUGACCACCUGUGGCGAAGGCGGUCUACCAGAACACGUUCGACGGUGAGGGAUGAAAGCUGGGGGAGCAAACCGGAUUAGAUACCCGGGUAGUCCCAGCUGUAAACUAUGCAAACUCAGUGAUGCAUUGGCUUAUGGCCAAUGCAGUGCUGCAGGGAAGCCGUUAAGUUUGCCGCCUGGGAAGUACGUACGCAAGUAUGAAACUUAGAAGAGGUGGCAAAAGGAGCACA